AAGUCGUAACAAGGUAACCGUAGGUGAACCUGCGGUUGGAUCAUUAAUGAAAGUUUAUUGUUUUUGCACUAGAUUAAUAGUGUAAUUACUAUACAUAACUUGUGAAAUGUUAUAGAUUGGUGUAUUUGGGAGGAGGGGAUGAGUAACUAUGUAUUUGUUACUUGUUACUUGUCUUUCCCUUCCUAUAUCUUUAUUAUAAACUUUGAAUACUAUUUUAUAAAUAUAUAUAUAAUACGGAUAGCCUUUUUCAUUUUGAAUGAAGAUAAAAUCUUUUUUUGAAAUGAUACAAGAGUAUAAUCGUUUUUACAUAAAAGUAUUAAAAAAACUUUUGACAACGGAUCUCUUGGCUCUC
rnacentral:misc_RNA from 1 species